UUAUAAAAGGCGGCGUAAGCUGUCGCUAUGGGAUGGCCCCGCGGUGCAUUAGCUAGUUGGUAAGGUAACGGCUUACCAAGGCAAUGAUGCAUAGCCGAGUUGAGAGACUGAUCGGCCACAUUGGGACUGAGACACGGCCCAAACUCCUACGGGAGGCAGCAGUAGGGAAUCUUCCACAAUGGACGCAAGUCUGAUGGAGCAACGCCGCGUGAGUGAAGAAGGUUUUCGGAUCGUAAAGCUCUGUUGUUGGUGAAGAAGGAUAGAGGUAGUAACUGGCCUUUAUUUGACGGUAAUCAACCAGAAAGUCACGGCUAACUACGUGCCAGCAGCCGCGGUAAUACGUAGGUGGCAAGCGUUGUCCGGAUUUAUUGGGCGUAAAGCGAGCGCAGGCGGAAGAAUAAGUCUGAUGUGAAAGCCCUCGGCUUAACCGAGGAACUGCAUCGGAAACUGUUUUUCUUGAGUGCAGAAGAGGAGAGUGGAAUUCCAUGUGUAGCGGUGGAAUGCGUAGAUAUAUGGAAGAACACCAGUGGCGAAGGCGACUCUCUGGUCUGCAACUGACGCUGAGGCUCGAAAGCAUGGGUAGCGAACAGGAUUAGAUACCCUGGUAGUCCAUGCCGUAAACGAUGAGUGCUAAGUGUUGGGAGGUUUCCGCCUCUCAGUGCUGCAGCUAACGCAUUAAGCACUCCGCCUGGGGAGUACG
rnacentral:rRNA from 1 species